UAACUUAGCGGAGAGAACUAACUAGGAUUCCCUCAGUAGCUGCGAGCGAACAGGGAAGAGCCCAGCACCGAAUCCAGCGGCCGAUACCGGGCGCCUGGAAAUGUGGUGUUAGGGAGGAUCCGUUUAUCCUGAGGUCGUGCGGUGCGUCCAAGUCCUUCUUGAACGGGGCCACAGCCCAUAGAGGGUGCCAGGCCCGUAGUGACCGCUGCCGAUCGCAGGAGGAUCUCUCCUCAGAGUCGGGUUGCUUGAGAGUGCAGCCCUAAGCGGGUGGUAAACUCCAUCUAAGGCUAAAUAUGACCACGAGACCGAUAGCGAACAAGUACCGUGAGGGAAAGUUGAAAAGCACUUUGAAGAGAGAGUUCAAGAGUACGUGAAACCGUUCAGGGGUAAACCUGAGAAACCCGAAAGGUCGAAAGGGGAAAUUCAUUCGCGUUUCGGCCGUCGGCGUCGGAUGGUCGAGUGACGGAUGGCGUACGCGUCGUCCGCACCUUCCUUCCUUCGAACCGGCGUCGAACGCGUGCACUUUUCCCCUAGUAGGACGUCGUGAUCCGUUGGGUGUCGGUCUAAGGCCUACGGUGGAGCCCGUGCGGACGUUUCGGCGUCCGCUCGGACCCGUGGUGACCCGGCCGACCCGCUCGACGGUAUACAGAUGGCGAGGGGCCGCUACUCAGUUAGCGUUCGGCCUGCGGCAAGCGCGUUCGGCGUUUGACGGCGAUCGGACCUGGUGCCGGUCCUGUCCACGAACGACUGUUGGCCGUGGUGUUCUCGAACAGACCUCAUUUGAAACGCCGAUCUGCGACGCUAUAGCUUUGGGUACUUUCAGGACCCGUCUUGACCGCAA
rnacentral:rRNA from 1 species